UUUUUGCUUUCAAAUAAUCCCUGUUUUCAUUGUUAAAUAAGUUUUGUGGUCAUUUUCGUCAAUUUCUUUUCAAGCUUUACAACUCUGCUGUAGUUGUCUUAUAAUAUGUUAUUGACACUAGUCUCACUCCAUGCAGAUAAAAGGAAAACUCUACUUCUAUCUUGGAAGUCGUGCAUUGUUGUCGUUCACUCGUUCGACGGUUGACGUUCUUCUCAUGUAAUCGUUAUCUCGUUGCCAUUGUUGAAGCUUUCACCAAGUUGGUUGGUUGAAGCUAUUGUUCGUCGUUGUGAAGCCCUCACUGUGGUUGGUUCUAUAGUGCUUCGCUUUCGUGGUGGUGCGUUUGGCCUUCAUCGCGUGGUUUGCCGGGUUUCCAACCACAACAAGGUUGGAGAUUCCCGGUUUGAAGGUUGUGAGCGUGUGCGAUAUACAGGGAGCAACUCCUACAACUCAGAGAGCUGAACUUUUUGGUGAAGAUCAAAGUUGGGCCCGCCCAGAAAGUAAGGUGAGUGUGUUUUCUGUCUCCUAUUUGUGCUGUUAACUAAUACCCUAUUCUUCCUCCAUCUUUUCGGUAAAUUGAUUAAUGCACUUGAUUAAAGCUGAUUUAUUUUUUGGGGUGAACAUAAUAGUAUCUUGCAGUGAUUCAUCAGUGAUCAAG